rnacentral:lncRNA from 1 species
UUUUUUUUUUUUUUUCCAGCUGUAUCAGUUCCCUAGAAAAACAAAAUCCCCACAGCAUUUGUCUGCCAUUUUUAAGCCACUGGCAGAAAAACGGAGGCCCCGCGAUGGCUCCCCCCCUCGGGAUGCUCCCCGCCUGCAUCCUCAUCUGAGUCCGUGCGAGUCCUCCUCCAUCACACGUCUUCUCUGCUCUUUUCUUCCCUCUGACCACACCCGUUAGCUCAGGGGCUACGCUGCCACGAGCCACAGACUCUGCAGAUCUCAAGAGUCAGAAUCAUGGAAUUCCCCACCCGAUCAUUUUAUUGGGGGAAAAAAGAAAAAAAUGAAAAGUAAAUUAAGUACAGCUCACAUUUUCCACACCCUCUGUUGACGCUAGAUUUGGGCCAAUUCGUCCUACCAUGGGUUCUGCGUGUCGAAUAAUAAACUGAAGGGUUCAUUACUGUUGGCUGAUAGCGUGUCGUUUCGAGGGGGUCCAUUUUUCUCAGCUCGGCUCAAAUCACUCUGGCGAGUUUAAUCUGGGCCAACAGUUGUGCUAUUUACUGCUGGAAUUUCUGUAUCUUAAGAGCACCCUGGGAAUUUAGCUUAGUGGCUCCAAGAUUGACUUACAGCUUGAAACCAGGUGGAAGUGGAUGCAUGGAACAUAUACACAAGGACAGGCUGCACAACUCUCUCCCUUCUCGGAGUGUUCCCAGAGGCACGGGGAUUGAUUUCUGGUUUUCAGGCUGUGCGGAAGUGGCUGUUUGAAUCUAGAGAGGUAGAGCGCUGCUCACGCCAGCAGUGGAGUGCUGUGUUGGCGGAGGAGUGGGGGCUGGGCCCUGUGAUUUGCCGGUCCUGUGAUCUUGGGUGGAUUCCUUGAUCUUUCUGAGCUUUCUUUUCCUCAUUUGCAAAGUGAGGUUCAGGACUCCUACCUCGGAACAUCGUUCUGGGGGCGGGGUGCGGUGAGCUCCUGGGAAAGGUUGCGACUGUCUCUGUCUCUGUUCCAAGGGAGCUCCACCCCCCUCUCCAGCCAGACCCCUCUCUUGUGUUUUCUUUCUUACGAUGCGUCUUCAACGCUCGAGCUUGGGAAUUGUGAGGGAACUCAGAGUAAUCAUGACCCCAAACCUUACGAGGCGGCAUCAUGAUGAACAAAGCUUCUUCACAAAUUGGACUCAUCCUAUUCUUCCGAAAGUCUUCAGAAGAAAUUGUUAUUAUUUCCGUAUUUGGAAAAUGAAACCGGGAGCUUCCAUCGUGGCGAGGCGGAAAUGAAUCCGACUAGGAAGCAUGAGGUUGUGGAUGCGAUCCCUGAACCUCGCUCAGUGGGUUAAGGAUCUGGUGUUGCCGUGAGCUGUGGUGUAGGUCGCAGAUGCAGCUCGGAUCCUGCCUUGCGGUGGCUGUGGUGUAGGCUGGCAGCUGUAGCUCCGAUUACACCCCUAGCCUGGGAACCUCCAUACACCAUGGGUAUGGCCAUAAAAACAAAACAAAACAAAAAAAGAAAACAGAAAAUGAAAUCACAUCACACUGUUGGAAGCAGCAAAGCAGGGAUCUGCUAAUUAUAAAUGUGCUGGCGAAGACGUGAUGACUGGCUCUCUCUUUCCUUUCCGUCCUUACUCUCUUUUCCAGGGCAUGUACUUCCUCAUCGAAUAGCAGCAAGUGGGAUUCUGCCGGGAGCCUGCUUCCUGGGUCCCCCAGGCCGAGUCUGAGGAUUGGAGCGAAGGGAAUUGAGAAGAAGCAGGAGCACACACUCUGGCAGUCUUGACAAAGUAGAACUACUUCAGGAUUGGAGGUCACGUAAAGAAAGAGAGUCACAGAUGUCUUCCAGGUUAAAUUUUAGUUAAAUGAUGCCUUAUUAAAAAAAAAAAAAUUAACAGGGCGUUCCAGACGUGGCUCAGUGGAAACAAAUCUGACUAGUAGCAUCCAUGAAGAUGCAGGUUUGAUCCCUGACCUUGCUCAGUGGGUUAAGGAUCCAGCGUUGCUGUGAGCUCUGGUGUAGGUUGCAGACGCAGCUCAGAUCUGGCAUUGCUGUGGCUGUGGCAUAGGCUGGUGGCUACAGCUCCGAUUCGACCUCUAGCCUGGGAACCUCCAUAUGCAGCAGGUGUGGCCCUAAAAGACAGAAAAAAGUUUCAAAAAAUUAACAAAAGGCAAAUGUAUUAGCAUCUACCAUCCUGGAUCUUCUGAAGAGGGUGAGGUGAUACUCUGUGUCCUAAAUGUGAUUCUGGGAUGUGGCUGUGGGGUAGAAAUAAGAACUUCUAACGUUUGAAUAGAACCCUGUAAUUCAGAGGGACCAUCCAUCUACCGAAUCUCGUUUAAUUCCUACAAAUUCCCGGUGACAUAGUGAGGCAGAGAUUAUUGAUGCCGUUCCUACAGGAAAACCCUGAGGCAAAACGCACUUCUUGGCUGAGAAUAGGCAGCUUAUGCACAAGCUGCGCAUGUCCACGCCUGGCCCUGGGCCCCUUGACCUCAUCAGCCUGGGUACACACCAUCGUCUCAUUGACGCUGCUUUUUCCUUCGAGCUCUCGUCUCCUCCACGGUCUCAAGGAAACAGAUGCUGCAGGUCUUCAUGAGCAUGGCUUGGGCUCAUAUUUUCCCCCUUCAGUGAAAUCCCCACAAAGAGUCUCAACCCUGGGCCUGGUCUUUGUUUAAUUUUUUCCUGUGCAUAAAAGAAUGGAUUAUGUUAUGUUCACUGAUUGAAAAAUCCAACACUGUGAACAAUUCCGGUCUUCCCUAAAGUGAUCUACAGGGUCAAGAGAAUCCCAACCAUGGGACAAACUGUUUAUAAAAAUGUGCAAAUUCAAAGGACCAAGACAGCCGAGGCCAUCUUGAAGAAAAACAAAAUUACUCAACCUACACUACCUGAUAUCAGGACCUAAUUACAAAGUUAUACUAAUGAAAAGAAUGCAGUAUUGGUCAGAGGAUGUAUAAGCAGACCAGGGGAAGAGAAUGGAGAACCAGAAACAGACUAAUGCAUCUAUUAUCCCGCAUUAGCCUGUAUACACACACACAUACCACAUCUUCUUAACCAUUCAUCAGUUGGUGGACCCGUAGGUUGCUUCCAUAUCUGAGCAAUUGGAAAUAAUGUUCAAGGUGGGGGAGGGGCAAGGGACUCUACCUGCUGAUGGGGGAGUAGCAAGGUCCCCCAUCAGCUUAAAAAAGAGCACAUGGGCAUCUAAAAUACUGCACGGGUGAACCUAGCUAGAACAGAAACAGACUCACAGACAUAGACAGCAGACUUGAGCCUGCCAAGAGAGAAGGGGUGUGAGCGGUGGACUGGGAGUUUGGGGUUCGUAGAUGCAAACUAUUCCAUUUAGAAUGGAUGAGCAAUGAGGCCCUGCUGUCCAGCACAGGGAACUAUAUCCAGUGUCUCGUGAUGGAACAUGAUGGAAGAUAGCAUGAGAAAAAGAAUGCAUUCAUAUGUAUGACUGGGUCACUCUGCUGUACAGCAGACAUUGGCAGGACAUUGUAAACCAAUUAUACUUUAAUAAUUUUUUUUUAAAGAGCAUGUGGGAUGGUAGAUAAUACUGCGUCCUCUUAGGACCAAAACUGCCACACUAGCUUUUACCGUCCUACGGUCCAGGUCACCCCACAAAUCACCUCAUUUGGCAUUUUUUACAUGGCAGGAAGCAUUCUUACUUGGAGGGUUCCUAUCAUAUGUGCUGAGUUCUGUGCUGACUCCCUUCAUGUAGAGUUUCUCAAUUACUGUGACUUAGAUUUUCAAACUAAUUUUCUCCAGACUUAGUCUCUGGGUUCAUUUGAACCGUCUGCAGGAUGCAGGACUCCCUGGCAGGUGGGACCCGUCUGGCUGUCCUUCAUAAGCAGGGAUGACCCUAAACGUCUCUUUAUCUCUGGAGAUCCAGGUGAUGGACUUACAUUCCCACAGGGGCUCACUUCACACUCUCAUUCACUCGGCUCCCCUGGAGGAUGGAGGCUUAUCUCUUUAGCGAUGCUUUUAUGACUGAAAAGAAAUCAUUUCUAUGCCUCGGGGUACCCACUUAAAACACCUACAGACAGAAGAUAUUAGAGGGGCAGCUCCUCGGCAAGACCUGCCUAUUCAGCUGUAAAACACCCUCCAGAGCUAUUCAGAAAUUGCAGACAGUGGUGGUGGCCUCAUGAUGUCUGUGCAAGAACAGAUGACAGAUGCACCCAGAGGCUUAAGGGCAUCUGUGCUGAAGAGCAGCCCAGGCGGGACUGCCCUGUCUUACCCCUUCUGAAAACGCUUGACUGUGAUGAGUCAAGAGUAAAACAAAAAGCCAUGUGCACCAGAGCAACUCUGCUGCAGUCAAACAGCAGAUGUGGAAACAUCUCUGCCGUCCAAGGAUCACCAAAAGUUAGAGAAAAGAAAUGUCCCCUGAGGCAAGGGGAACAUUCUAGAACCUUCUACAUCUCAGGAAGACUUCAGGGAGGUCAGGGGAAAGGUCUGGAGACACCCCUUCUCUCCAAGAGGUGCAACUUGCUAAGAAACACCUCUGAAAACUUGAACCACUUUAGGAGUAGUCCAGUUAUUUUAAACCACUAUUCUUCAACUGAGGACACAGAGGCCCAAGGACAGAGGUGACUGGACCAGCAUCAGCGCCCUGGCCUGUGGCAGAGUCUGCAACCAGUUUUCCUAAUCUCCAGUUCAAAUCUCUUUCCAAACACCAGCUUCCCCACCCCUCCAAAUUCUGACGUUUCUGCCUGAUAAACGUCACCUUGUGACACUGAAAUAGGGAAACAGACGCUCUGGCUGGCUUGGGGCUUAGGUUAGAGGGUGAAAGGGGGUGAUGGGUAACCAAGGGGGCUGCACAGGGUUAGGGGCUCCUCAAGAGUUCUGAGGCAGGCUCAGGCUGGGAGGUAUGGGACAGGGGGUGUCUAACUGCCCCUCCCCCACUGAGGGGACAGGGAACUGCUCUCCAGCAAGGGCGCCUGUAUCGCCUGGUGGGGAGGGUGCCGCCACGGUCGGGCCUCUGGAGACACCCAACUUCCUUAUCCCCAGAACCUGGUCUCCCAGCAAAUGGAGACAGAAAGCCAGGAAGUCCAGUGGACAGCGAGGUCCUGGCUGGAUCCAUCUGUGGAAACAUGGCGAAACAGGAAGAGGAAGCGGGAGCCUGGGCCCUGGGGACAGUUUUGCAGAAAAGGAUUGUCCUUAAUUUGAGAUUACAGCACACCUCCUUUGUGUCCCCUAGAAUCUGCGAGUGGAUGGGUUUGUGCAGCAUGAAAAAAAAUGUAUGGCUGAGAGCAGAAUGGCCCUAGCCUGUCUGUUUGGGACUGUGGGUUGGCAGAAGACCAAGAGAUGCAAGGCAGGGCUGCGUCCUCUGCGUCAGGGUCUGGGGUGGGGGUGGGGUGGCUUGGGGGAAGGAAAGAGGAAGAGGAACCCAAGGAGCAUCAGCUUUGGGCAUGGCCUGAGGGCUUUUGAGCGAACACAGUCCAAUAGUCUUCGAUGCCUGGAAACCUGGACCACAAUCGUCUUCUGGAUCCUAAAUAUUCAGUCAGAUCUGUGCCGAACCCACCAGCCUUGUUGGGGGUGGGAGGGGAGUGGAUGCAAGGGGAAGGGGUGGAGCUCUCUUGGAAACCACUGGGGCCGGGGAGACAGCCCCCAACAUGCUCCUUUCAGUGGAGGCAGCGCUCCUGGGAGUCGCCCACCACUUGAAGAGCUCAUUGCCAGGAAGGAGGGUUGAGUCAAUGGUGCCUCCACCUAAGGGUCCAGGGCCCCCAUUGCCACACUCGUUGAUUAGAAGCCUGGUCUGGUUUAUGGUAAUGAGGCUCAGGAACCUUCUACCAGUCAGGACAGAGCCCCAAGGUCCACGGCCCUCUUUGCAGAGCCGGCAUUUAGCCAGGACAAGUCCUGGCUGGAUAAACACUCAUUGCACCAAAAAGCAGGAAUUCUUUUUUUUUUUUUUUUUUUCGUUUUAGCACCACACCUGUGCCAUAUGGAAGUUCCCAGGCUAGGGGCUGAGUCAGAGCUUCAGCUGCUGGCCUGUACCACAGGCACAGCCGCAUGGAAUCGAAGACUCAGCUGUGACCAACACCAAAGCUUGAGGCAAUGGUGGAUACUUAACCCACUGAGAGGGACCAGGGAUUGAACCCGCAUCCUCAGGGAUACUAGUCAGGUUCAUCAGUGCUGAGCCACAAUGGAAACUCCCCCCGAAGCAGGAAUUCUGUAUCUACUAUUUCUCAGCAGAACCUCACAGCUGGUGUAUCCUCCCCAUUCCUCUCUCUCUUUUUCAUCCUACCCCCUCCCCAUUAGAGAAAUUUUCUUUCAAAUAGCUUCUGAACUUCAACCUUCUCUCCAAAGCCUCUGUAUCUGUUAGGAAUGAGUUUGUAUGCAAAUAACAAAAACACCUAAGAGUGGCCUAAACCAGCGGGGUGGAGUUUCUCCCAGAGCAGGAUGCCUGGACAGCACACCGGGGCCAGGGCAGCUCACCCAUGUCAUUGAAGCUCUUUCCGUUUCACCUCCUUAGUAUACUGGUUUGCUGGGUCACAGUCACAAGAGGGCUGCCCCAGCACCAGCCAUCAAGACCACGCGUGAGUUAGAGGGGGAGGUGUCAUGUUCGUCCCUUUCAUCAGGAAAGUGGAAGUUUUUCCAGAAGUAACUCCAGACCCCAGCAUUACAGUUACAUCUUUGUGGCAACGCGUGCUCACGCAAGGCACUGCUAAAUCAAUCCCCUUCAUUUCUGCG